UCUACCUCUCCCUGUUUACUUUGAUUGGUGUGUUGUUUUUAAGUUAAAAAGCAUUAAGGAGAAAAGUCCUCUCCAUCACUCUACAGUACAAUAUAAAGAAAUGUUUUUUUCAUUCCAGGGAAAUCAGAUGGGGGUUAAAGCUUGGGCUAGAAACGGGGUGAGGGAAACCGGGAACCUCCCCACCCCGCAACGUGUUGAUGACAUUUGGAGAAAUUAAUGAUGUAUUUGACAAAUCUUGUAAUCAAUUCUCCAAAUAUUUACAGCUGAGAAACUUUAUCAAAACACAAGACCAAUCAUGUAUCCCCUCAAGGUCCACCAUAGAAAGCAAAUUUGUAUAGGAAGGAGUUCACUUUCUGAGGUAUUUAUAUGUGUGGUAGAGGCGUGUACUGAGACAUCUUUAUAGAGACUGGAGGUGUGGAGAGAGGACCUGCAUAUGGAAAUAAUGUCAGGGACUUCCACAGGUUAGCAGCAACUUACACAGGUUAGCAGGGACUUCCACAGGUUAGCAUGGAUUUACACAAGUUAGCAGGGAUUUACACAGGUUAGUAGGGAUUUACACAGGUUAGCAGGGAUUUACACAGGUUAGCAUGGAUUUACACAGGUUAGCAUGGAUUUACACAGGUUAGCAGGGAUUUACACAGGUUAGCAUGGACUUCCACAGGUUAGCAGGGAUUUACACAGGUUAGCAGGGACUUUCACAGGUUAGCAGUGAUUUACACAUGUUAGCAGGGAUUUACACAGGUUAGCAUGGACUUCCACAGGUUAGUAGUGAUUUACACAGGUCAGCAGGGACUUCCACAGGUUAGUAGUGAUUUACAUAUGUUAGCAGGGAUUUACACAGGUUAGUAGGGACUUCCACAGGUUAGCAGGGAUUUACACACGUUAGCAGGUACUUCCACAGGUUAGCAGUGAUUUACACAGGUUAGCA